CAGCUAGUUGGGGGGGUAACGGCCCACCAAGGCAUCGAUCGGUAGCCGGCCUGAGAGGGCGGUCGGCCACACUGGCACUGAGACACGGGCCAGACUCCUACGGGAGGCAGCAGUGGGGAAUUUUGGGCAAUGGGCGCAAGCCUGACCCAGCAACGCCGCGUGAAGGACGAAAUCCCUCCGGGAUGUAAACUUCGAAAGUCAGGAAAGAAAUCUCAGGGGCGAAUACCCCUUGAGGAUGACGGUACCUGAUAUAAGCCCCGGCUAGCUACGUGCCAGCAGCCGCGGUAAUACGUAGGGGGCAAGCGUUGUUCGGAAUUACUGGGCGUAAAGGGCGCGUAGGCGGCACGGCAAGUCGGGAGUGAAAGGCCUGGGCUCAACCCAGGAACGGCUUUCGAGACUGCCGAGCUAGAGUGCGGAAGGGGCAACUGGAAUUCCCAGUGUAGCGGUGAAAUGCGUAGAUAUUGGGAAGAACACCGGAGGCGAAGGCGGGUUGCUGGGCCGACACUGACGCUGA
rnacentral:rRNA from 1 species